UCUUUCUUUCUUUUUUUUUCUUUUUAAAAUUUAUUUAUUUUAUGUAUAUGAGUACACUGUAGCUGUACUGAUAGUUGUGAGCCAUCAUGUGGUUGCUGGGAAUUUGAAUUCAGGACCUCUGCUCUCUCUGGUCGGCCCUGCUCAUAUUAUUAUAUCUAAGUACGCUGUAGCUGUCUUCAGACACACCAGAGGAGGGCAUCAAGUCACUUUUAUGGAUGGUUGUGAGCCACCAUGUAGUUGCUGGGAUUUGAACUCAGGACCUCUGGAAGAGCAGUCAGUGCUCUUAACCGCUAAGUCAUCUUUCCAGCCUGCCUUGGCUUUUCUAGAACUUGUUCUGUAGACAUGCCUGGCUUCAAACUCAUAUCUACCUGUCACUAACUAACUGGGAUUAAAGGUAUAUGCCACCACCUUGAGAAUUUAUAUCAUAAAGAUGGCUCUAAGACCAGGCUUAGUAGCAAACACCUUUCAUCCCAGAAUUUGGGUGGUAGACACAGACAGCUCUGUGAAAUUGGGGCUAGCCUAUAUAAGUAAGGAGAACCUGCCUCAGAAUAAAGUUAAACAAAACCACACACACAUAACAAGAAUAAAGGAAAGGGAGAAAAAGGUGUCUGGUUUGUCCAAAGGUUUGCUGUGUGGUGUACACAAUUCUAGUAGCCUCUGGCCCCAUUUUCUUUAAAGGAGAAAAGGCCUGAGGAUAGAUGGGCUGAUUGUUGACUGAUAGCCCUCCCCCUUCUUACUGAUGUGUAGUCGCUUGUUAACGUAUAAAACAACUCCAGCAUGCUCGUGUCCUUCGUUGAGGGCCAUGUGCACGCCAUGCCAUGCUGUGGAGCUGCACCAGCCUUAGAUCACUCUCACUAGCAAGGAAAAAUUCACGUGGAUGUCCUGGGUCCUUGACUUAACAAUCUGUGUGAUUGCCAAAGGGUACAGGCCUGGGGACCGUGGUAUCUGCAGGCCUCACCCGCCUUGUGUGGCCCUGGCCCUCAUGGCUCUGGCAGUUGGAGCUGCUAACUUUUUUAUCCUCUGUAUCUUACCCUUCAUUUCCAUUACUCCCCGCUGGUCUGCUUUGUUUUUCUGUUAUCUAAACAACCACAUCAGUCCUUUGUGGUUUUCAUAUUUUUCCUUGUAGAAAUUACAGACAGAGCAGUAAGCAAGAAUUUUCCCCGUUAGUGAGAUGAGACUAGUUCUAUAGGUGAUCCCUGGCCUUCAUAUGAGUUGGCAUUGACCAGUGACUACGAGAGAGAUGCUUGAGCAUUCCUGAAGCCUGCUACAGCUGAGCUUCCAAGUUCCCCAUCUAAUAGCACCACGAGUGUUGGUAUCAGAUAAUUCUGAUUUUAAGUCAUUAGCUGUGUAAAGGUCAUAAUUGUCCUAAUCCUCCACCUUUUCUAUAAAAUCAAAAUGUUAUCUUGGAGAUUUAUUGUGAGAAUUGGAAAUUAAGAUCUAAGCCAGGUAGUGGUGGCGCACACCUGUAAUCCUGGCACCUGGGAGGCAGAGGCAGGUGGAUUUCUGAGUUUGAGGCCAGCCUGGUCUACAGAGUGAGUUCCAGGACAGCCGGGGGCUACACAGAAAAACCCUGUCUUGAAAAACCAAAAAAGAAAAAAGAAAUGAAGAUCUGUAGAAUACUCAAAUGCACUCAAUACACAUGAAGUGCUCUGUGUAAAACUCGAGUAACAAGGAGUGGUCAUCUUGUUUUGUUUUAAUUUGUAUGGGUACACUGUAGUGGUCUUCAAACACACCAGAAGAUGGCAUUGGAUUCCAUUACGGAUGGUUGUGAGCCACCAUGUGGUUGCUGGGAAUUGAACUCAGGACCCCUGGAAGAGUAGUCAGUGCUCUUUACCACUCAGCUGUCUCUCCAGUCCUGGUCAUCUUGCUUUUUAUUCAGGGUCUUUUUGUUGUGUUUGAAUUAUUGUUCAGUCUUUUGCCUCAAUGAAUUCAUUUGUCAUACCAACCGUGUCUUAGGUUUGUGGUAGGACAGAGGUAUAUCCUGUUAAAACUUUAUAUUUGAUUUCACAAGGGACUUUUUUUUUAAGAUUAAUUUAUUUUAUUAUAUGAAUACACUGUAGCUGUCUUCAGACACCCCAGAAGAGGGCAUCAUAUCUCAUUACAGAUGGUUGUGAGCCACCAUGUGGUUGCUGGGGAUUUAACUCAAAAGAGCAGUCAAUGCUCUUAACCACUGAGCCAUCUCUCCAGCCCCGCAAGGGACAUUUUAUAAGUGGAAGCGGUGAUAGUUAGCUGGCAAUAGCUGUAGUAGUUAGUGGAUUUUUUUUUUUUUU